UGCUCAGACCAUGCAGCUCUGGCCCAGGAGCCCAGGUCUGAAUUUCCAGAUCCUACCAUUGUGUGAUCAACACAGAGCAGACCACUGACCAUGAACUUGGGGCUCAUCUUUGCUUUCUGUGUCUUUAUUUUAAAAGGUUUCCAUUGUGAUGUGCAGCUGAUGGAGUCUGGAGGAAGCUUAGUGCAGCCUGGAAAGACCCUGAAACUUUCCUGUGAAGCCUCCGGAUUCACCUUUAGUGACUAUAGCAUGCACUGGGUCCGCCAGGCUCCAGGGAAGGGACUGGAGUGGGUGUCACUCAUUAAUUAUGACAGUAGUUACAUCGAGUAUGCCAACACUGUUAAGGGCCGAUUCACCAUCUCCAGAGACAAUGCCAAGAAGACAAUGUACCUGCAAAUGAACAGUCUCAAGUCUGAGGAUACAGCCAUGUAUUACUGUGCAAGAGACACAGUGAGCGAAUGCUACUGUGAGCUCAGACACAAACCUCCCUUCAGGGAUCUAAGGACCAGCAGAGGGCACAAAUAG